AUUGAACGCUGGCGGUAUGCUUAACACAUGCAAGUCGAGCGGUAGCAGGCCUUCGGGCGCUGACGAGUGGCGGACGGGUGAGUAAUGCAUAGGAAUCUGACUAUUAGUGGGGGAUAACGUGGGGAAACUCACGCUAAUACCGCAUACGACCUACGGGUGAAAGCUGGGGAUCUGCGGGCCUGGCGCUAAUCCAUGCGACUAUGUCCGCUUAGCUAGUUGGUAGGGUAAAGGCUGACGAAGGCGACGAUCCGUAGCUGUUCAGAGAGGAUGAGCAGACAAGCUGGGACGGAGAAACGGCCGAGACUACUACGGGAGUCAGCAGUGGGGAAUAUUGGACAAUGGGAGAAAGCCUGAUCCAGCAAUACCGCGUGUGUGAAGAAGGCCUGAGGGUUGUAAAGCACUUUCAAUGGGAAGGAAUACCUAUCGGUUAAUACCCGGUAGACUGACAUUACCCAUACAAGAAGCACCGGCUAACUCCGUGCCAGCCGCCGCAGUAACAC
rnacentral:rRNA from 1 species